GAGAGCCGUAUGCGGUGAAAGUCGCACGUACGGUUCGGGAAAGGCUUUUUAACUAAUCUUAAUUUUUACUAAUUACAGUAAAAUUCUUAUAAAGAGGUUACUAUAAUGCUUAAAGAAAGAAAAAAGAGGGUUAACCUGCUAUUUCAC
rnacentral:ncRNA from 1 species